GACGAACGCUGGCGGCGUGCUUAACACAUGCAAGUCGAACGGAAAGGCCCUGCUUUUGUGGUGUGCUCGAGUGGCGAACGGGUGAGUAACACGUGAGUAACCUGCCCUUGACUUUGGGAUAACUUCAGGAAACUGGGGCUAAUACCGGAUAGGAGCUCCUGCUGCAUGGUGGGGGUUGGAAAGUUUCGGCGGUUGGGGAUGGACUCGCGGCUUAUCAGCUUGUUGGUGGGGUAGUGGCUUACCAAGGCUUUGACGGGUAGCCGGCCUGAGAGGGUGACCGGCCACAUUGGGACUGAGAUACGGCCCAGACUCCUACGGGAGGCAGCAGUGGGGAAUCUUGCACAAUGGGCGGAAGCCUGAGGCAGCAACGCCGCGUGCGGGAUGACGGCCUUCGGGUUGUAAACCGCUUUCGCCUGUGACGAAGCGUGAGUGACGGUAAUGGGUAAAGAAGCACCGGCUAACUACGUG
rnacentral:rRNA from 1 species